GAAAAUGCGAUGAAAGGAAAUAGUACAGCCCCAAAGCGAAUAGAGACUUCUUGGUUGGUGGAAAAGAAGCGUGUAAAGGCUCGAACACAUCCUAGAGCACUUCAGGCGAAAUGAAGAGUAGUCUGAAACGGUUGCUUCCGUUACCGAGCUAGAGUAUGUUAGUACUCGAUAAGGUGUUUUUCGCAAGAAAUGCACGAAGUAAGGUGGAACCACGCAAGUUUAGCUUUCGUCCUUUGG
rnacentral:ncRNA from 1 species